rnacentral:rRNA from 1 species
AGAGUUUGAUUCUGGCUCAGGAUGAACGCUGGCGGCGUGCCUAACACAUUCAAGUCGAACGGUGUCAUUUUAGUAGCAAUACUGAGGUGGCAUAGUGGCGGACGGGUGAGUAACGCGUGAGCAACCCGCCUUUCAGAGGGGGAUAACACAGGGAAACUUGUGCUAAUACCGCAUAACGUAUACUGGGGGCAUCCUCGGGAUACCAAAGGAGAGAUCCGCUGAAAGAAGGGCUCGCGUCCGAUUAGAUAGUUGGCGGUGUAACGGACCACCAAGUCUGCGAUCGGUAGCCGGACUGAGAGGUUGAACGGCCACAUUGGAACUGAGAAACGGUCCAGACUCCUACGGGAGGCAGCAGUGGGGAAUAUUGGGCAAUGGGCGCAAGCCUGACCCAGCGAACCGCCGCGUGAAGGAAGACGGUCUUCGGAUUGUAAACUUCAGUUAAACGGGACGAAAGCGCAGCGAUGCGCGUGACGGUACCGUAAGAGAAAGCCACGGCUAACUACGUGCCAGCCGCCGC